CCUACGGGUGGCAGCAGUGAGGAAUAUUGGUCAAUGGGCGCGAGCCUGAACCAGCCAAGUCGCGUGAGGGAAGACGGUCCUAUGGAUUGUAAACCUCUUUUGUCGGGGAGCAAAAGACGCCACGCGUGGCGUUCCGAGAGUACCCGAAGAAAAAGCAUCGGCUAAUUCCGUGCCAGCAGCCGCGGUAAUACGGAGGAUGCGAGCGUUAUCCGGAUUUAUUGGGUUUAAAGGGUGCGCAGGCGGAAGAUCAAGUCAGCGGUAAAAUUGAGGGGCUCAACCUCUUCGAGCCGUUGAAACUGGUUUGCUUGAGUGAGUGAGAAGUAUGCGGAAUGCGUGGUGUAGCGGUGAAAUGCAUAGAUAUCACGCAGAACUCCGAUUGCGAAGGCAGCAUACCGGCGCUCAACUGACGCUCAUGCACGAAAGUGUGGGUAUCGAACAGGAUUAGAUACCCGAGUAGUC
rnacentral:rRNA from 1 species